rnacentral:rRNA from 1 species
AGUGGGGAAUAACUGUUGGAAACGACAGCUAAUACCGCAUAAUAUUGCUGGAUAAUUUCCAGUAAUGAAAGGAGCUUUCAAGCUCCGCUGAUUGAUGAGGAUGCGGCGCAUUAGCUAGUUGGUAGGGUAAUGGCCUACCAAGGCAAUGAUGCGUAGCCGAUCUGAGAGGAUGAACGGCCACAUUGGGACUGAGACACGGCCCAAACUUCUACGGAAGGCAGCAGUAGGGAAUUUUUCACAAUGGGCGAAAGCCUGAUGGAGCAAUGCCGCGUGACUGAUGAAGGUCUUCGGAUUGUAAAGGUCUGUUGUAAGGGAAGAAAUGGUAAAACAGGAAAUGGUUUUAUCUAUGACGGUACCUUACCAGAAAGCCACGGCUAACUAUGUGCCNGCAGCCGCGGUAAUACAUAGGUGGCAAGCGUUAUCCGGAUUUAUUGGGCGUAAAGGGUGCGUAGACGGUUUUGCAAGUCUGANGUUAAAUUUAGGAGCUCAACUCCUAAUCGCCUUGGAAACUACAAGACUAGAGUAUAGGAGAGGNUAGUGGAAUUCCAUGUGUAGCGGUGGAAUGUGUAGAUAUAUGGAGGAACACCAGUGGC